rnacentral:tRNA from 1 species
GUUUUAAUAAUUUAAUAAAAAUAUUAGUCUUGUAAAUUAAAAAUGAUAUAAUCUUAAAACA